GCAGCUUCAGCGAAGCCGGAGAUGGGCAGAGAGCGCGCGCGGCGCAGCAGCUCCAGAUUCACUGCUCUCCCCUGCAGCUCCCCGCGCCCCCGCCGCUGUCGCUGCCUCGGUGUCCCCCAGCCCCAGUCGCGCUCUUAGGACAGCGCCGCCACCGCCGCCUGGCCCUGCCUGCCUCCUGCGCCGCGCAGCCCUCGCGAGCGCCCCGGAUGGCGCUUUACCCCUAGGACCGCACAUCAAGAUGCAAAUUUGGAUGAGAGGAAAACUACACUUCUAAGGCUCCCCUGACAUAGUUUCUUUGGAGUGCAAUUCAGCCUCUCUUUAUUGAGGGCCUAUGGGGCAAGAACUGAAGUGAUGAUGGCAGGCACAAGAAACCUUAAGUUUCUUUCACUGGAGAGCUCUUCAGUUCAUCCAUGAAGCUGAGUCCCAGAUUAAAAACCAUUGCUGUGGUUUGUCUGUAUUUUGGUGUAUCAAAGCAGACAAAAGAAAAGGAAAGCACCUCCAAUCCAUCUUAAUAAUCAUCCCACCUUCCUUUCUGCUUUCAUAUGACAUUUAUUUAAACCAAGCUAUAGCUGUGCUUCUCAAACCUUACAGUCCAUGUGAAUCACCUGAAGAUAUUAUUAAAAUGCAGAUUCUUAUUCAAUAGAUCUGGGUUGGGAUGGGAGAUUUCUAACAAACUCUUAAGUAAACUCCUACUCUGGAAACCACACUUUGACAAGCAAGGGUCUGUAAAACUAGAAAGCUAGAGGCCUUUUAGUUCAUGGCUCUUAACCAAGAGCCUGCGAAUCUCUGGGACAUUUAUCCACAGGUUUUAGGAUUCUAUGAGUCCCAAGAAAUAAAUGCAAAAUUUUAUAUGUAUGUGGGUAUGGGCAUUUUUUUAUUUUCUGGAGAGUUAACAGUUAUUAGCCUUUGUAAGAGGCUUAUGAAGACCUAAUUAAAAUAAGUGGGUAGUGAUUGAAUCAGUCCCAUUUUUAGAUGAGUAAACUAAGGUCUAAGGAAGCUAAAUUAUCUGCGAGGUUCACAGAGUUUGUUACAAACCUAGGAAUUGCAUCCAGGUUUCUGGUGCCUAAUCCAGGGGCUUUGAUUGUACUAGACUGUCUUUCAAACUUUGAUUUGAGAGAAAUAAGUGUAAUAAUUCAGUAAAUAAAUUUAAUAAUGAAAGAACAAA
rnacentral:lncRNA from 1 species